rnacentral:rRNA from 1 species
CAAACGACUCUCGGCAACGGAUAUCUCGGCUCACGCAUCGAUGAAGAACGUAGCAAAAUGCGAUACUUGGGUGAAUUGCAGAAUCCCGUGAACCAUCGAGUUUUUGAACGCAAGUUGCGCCCGAAACCAUCCGGUUGAGGGCACGCCUGCCUGGGCGUCACGC